AAGUCGUAACAAGGUUUCCGUAGGUGAACCUGCGGAAGGAUCAUUAGUGAAUAUUAGCGCAUCUCUUCGGAGAGCGUGACCUCCACUUUCUAACUCUGUGCAUUUAUUGGCGGAAGAACUUGAGCAAUCGAGUACUUCUGCGGCUCAUUUAUAACACUAGUUAAAGUAUGUAACGAAAUAUCGAAACAAAAAAAACUUUCAACAACGGAUCUCUUGGCUUGCUCAUCGA
rnacentral:misc_RNA from 1 species